GGGAGAACUGUAGAGUUGGAGAUCUACGGCGGUCUGUAAAACCGUUGCAAUUGCUUUGAGUGUUCGAAUCACUCUUCUCCCA
rnacentral:tRNA from 1 species